rnacentral:rRNA from 1 species
AUUGAACGCUGGCGGCAGGCCUAACACAUGCAAGUCGAACGCGUGGCGGACGGGUGAGUAAUGUCUGGGAAACUGCCCGAUGGAGGGGGAUAACUACUGGAAACGGUAGCUAAUACCGCAUACAAUCGGCGGUGCCCAGAUGGGAUUAGCUAUUAGGGGGGGUAACGGCGCACCUAGGCGACGAUCCCUCGCUGGUCUGAGAGGAUGACCAUCCACACUGGAACUGAGACACGGUCCAGACUCCUACGUGAGGCAGCAGUGGGGAAUAUGGCACAAUGGGCGCAAUCCUGAUGCAGCCAUGCCGCGUGUAUGAAGAAGGCCUUCGGGUUGUAAAGUACUUGCAGCGAGGAGGCGUUACUCGCAGAAGAAGCACCGGCUAACUCCGUGCCAGCCGCCGCGGUAAGAC